AUGAUAUGCUUCUUCGCAGUCGAGUGGCACUUUGUAGACCGUGUGGCAAGACAAUUUGGAAAAAGACAAGGUAUUCCAAUUGAGGAGAGCAAGGAGGAAAUGCUAUCUCUGCAUCGGUUCGAUCGAAGGAACAAUCAGGAUAUAUCGGAUUGGGCAAACAAACACCGUGCGUGGAUAGAAAUUUGGAAUCAAAGAGACACGUUAGUGCAAUCAGAGAAUAGACCUCACAAUCAGUCAGCAUAUCAGAAGUAUCAAGUGUGGUAUGCGGAUCGUUACCGGUUAAAGCUGAAGCCAGGUUGGACUCACGAGGAGUGGUCGGAGUUGGUGUCUGAAGACCCGGAGACUGCAGAAGGUUAUCAUACCUUCAACACGGCUGUGAGAGACACCAGAGGGGCUCAUGUUGACUACGCACCGAUGCAUGACGAAAUGGUAGUCUGUUUGACCUAUUCUAACAUACUUGCAUCAUGUUGUCUUCUUUCAAAUACAUAA
rnacentral:rRNA from 1 species